UUUAAAGAGAGUUUGAUCCUGGCUCAGGACGAACGCUGGCGGCGUGCCUAAUACAUGCAAGUCGAACGAACGGAGGAAGAGCUUGCUCUUCCAAAGUUAGUGGCGGACGGGUGAGUAACACGUGGGCAACCUGCCUGUAAGUUGGGGAUAACUCCGGGAAACCGGGGCUAAUACCGAAUGAUAAGGAGUGACGCAUGUCACUGCUUUGAAAGAUGGUUUCGGCUAUCGCUUACAGAUGGGCCCGCGGUGCAUUAGCUAGUUGGUAGGGUAAAGGCCUACCAAGGCAACGAUGCAUAGCCGACCUGAGAGGGUGAUCGGCCACACUGGGACUGAGACACGGCCCAGACUCCUACGGGAGGCAGCAGUAGGGAAUCUUCCGCAAUGGACGAAAGUCUGACGGAGCAACGCCGCGUGUAUGAAGAAGGUUUUCGGAUCGUAAAGUACUGUUGUUAGAGAAGAACAAGGAUAAGAGUAACUGCUUGUCCCUUGACGGUAUCUAACCAGAAAGCCACGGCUAACUACGUGCCAGCAGCCGCGGUAAUACGUAGGUGGCAAGCGUUGUCCGGAUUUAUUGGGCGUAAAGCGCGCGCAGGCGGUCUUUUAAGUCUGAUGUGAAAGCCCCCGGCUUAACCGGGGAGGGUCAUUGGAAACUGGAAGACUGGAGUGCAGAAGAGGAGAGUGGAAUUCCACGUGUAGCGGUGAAAUGCGUAGAUAUGUGGAGGAACACCAGUGGC
rnacentral:rRNA from 1 species